CUUUGAAGGCUUUUAGUUUAGAUUAACUUAAAUCUCUUAUUAUAUAUA
rnacentral:tRNA from 1 species